rfam:Medicago truncatula strain A17 chromosome 1, whole genome shotgun sequence.
GUGAGCCUAGUGAUAGGAGACUAUCUAGCUUGGUUCGGAGAGCACUUGUUAGGUUAAAGAUUUUUAUUGUUGCUAAAUGUUAUGUUACGGCCUAAAUGCUGAACUAUUGACCCUAC